UAUUAAAGAGCAAAACCAAACAGACCUAAAAGACCAUUUGGGGUUUAUAAAAAGGAAGGUCGGCUGUCUUUCCUUCUCUUUUCUGGUAAGAAUAGAACAAAACCAGAAAAGAAAAGAAGGAAGAAAAGAAGGAAGAAGAGAAGGAGAAGGAGAAGGAGAAGGAGAAGCAGAAGCAGAAGAAGAAGACGACGAGAUAUAAGAAAAGAGAGUUGCUGAUUUUGAGGCAGCUGCUGGAAAUUCCUUCAACCAGGAAUUAGAGUUCAACAUUGGUGUGAAGAUAAGAGAAGAAGAAAGAUAGAAAAGUGGAGAGAGAGCCAAAAAUAGGAAAAGGAGAAUUGGAUGUAAAAAGUUGAAAUUCCAUACUCUCCUCACUUUUUUAUAAUGUGGGGCAUUAUAUUAUAAUAAUGAAAUUCAAUUAAGAAACUUAAACUCCUUUAAGUUUCCUAAAACUUUAA